GACGAACCGAGCGAACGUUAUUCGGAAUCACUGGGCUUAAAGGGCGCGUAGGCGGGCCAUCAAGUCAGGGGUGAAAGCCCCCAGCUCAACUGGGGAAGUGCCUCUGAUACUGGUGGCCUCGAGGGAGGUAGGGGCGUGCGGAACUUCCGGUGGAGCGGUGAAAUGCGUAGAUAUCGGAAGGAACACCGGUGGCGAAAGCGGCGCGCUGGACCUCUUCUGACGCUGAGGCGCGAAAGCCAGGGGAGCAAACGGG
rnacentral:rRNA from 1 species